rnacentral:rRNA from 1 species
UGGGGAAUAUUGGACAAUGGACCAAGAGUCUGAUCCAGCAAUUCUGUGUGCACGAUGAAGUUUUUCGGAAUGUAAAGUGCUUUCAGUUGGGAAGAAAAAAAUGACGGUACCAACAGAAGAAGUGACGGCUAAAUACGUGCCAGCAGCCGCGGUAAUACGUAUGUCACGAGCGUUAUCCGGAUUUAUUGGGCGUAAAGCGCGUCUAGGUGGCUAUGUAAGUCUGAUGUGAAAAUGCAGGGCUCAACUCUGGAUUGCGUUGGAAACUGUAUAACUAGAGUACUGGAGAGGUAAGCGGAACUACAAGUGUAGAGGUGAAAUUCGUAGAUAUUUGUAGGAAUGCCGAUGGGGAAGCCAGCUUACUGGACAGAUACUGACGCUGAAGCGCGAAAGCGUGGGUAGCAAACAGGAUUAGAUACCCUGGUAGUCCACGCCGUAAACGAUGAUUACUAGGUGUUGGGGGUCGAACCUCAGCGCCCAAGCAAACGCGAUAAGUAAUCCGCCUGGGGAGUACGUACGCAAGUAUG